rnacentral:rRNA from 1 species
AACCCUUAUCCCUAGUUGCCAUCAGGUAAAGCUGGGAACUCUGGGGAGACUGCCGGUGAUAAACCGGAGGAAGGCGGGGAUGACGUCAAGUCCUCAUGGCCCUUACAUCCCGGGCUACACACGUGCUACAAUGGCAGGUACAGAGGGCUGCGAAGCCGCGAGGUGGAGCGAAUCCCAGAAAACCUGUCUCAGUCCGGAUUGAAGUCUGCAACUCGACUUCAUGAAGGCGGAAUCGCUAGUAACCGCGAAUCAGCAGGUCGCGGUGAAUACGUUCCCGGGUCUU